AUGGAUCUCAGUAAACUUGGACUUGCCCUCCGGAUGAGAUGGGAAUGGCUACGCAGAUUGGACGACGGCCGGCCUUGGCAAGGUCUGAAUCUGGUGCCAGAUAAGCAAGUACAGUGUGCAUUCAAUAGCUUGGUGACAUGGGAGAUCGGUGAUGGCAAACGUAUACUCUUUUGGAAGGACAGAUGGGUGCAUGGUAAUACGAUUGCUGAGCUUGCUCGUAAUCUGGUAACCAAGGUGAAAACGAGGAUGAUCAACACUAGGCUGGCCAGCGAGGGUUUAAACCAGCACGAUUGGACCAAGGACAUCCCGGAGACGCUAUCCACGGAGGAGCUCGCGCAAUUUAUCCAUCUUUGGGAGAUUCUUAUGCAGUUUGACAUCAAUCCAGGAAGUGGAGACAAGGCCGUUUGGGCUUGGCAUGAGUCGGGUGUCUAUUCUGCUGCUUCGGCAUAUCGGAUGUUCUGUGCUGGAGGUAUCAGGUUUGCGCCGGCGCUGCUAUUUGGAAGAACGGAGCACCUCUCGCCUGCAAGAUCUUCGUGUGGCUAG
rnacentral:rRNA from 1 species